rnacentral:tRNA from 1 species
AGGGACUUAAGUUCAAUUCUAGACUAAAAGCCUUCAAAGCUUUAAGUGGGGGCGGGAAUCCCUUAGUCCCUG